ensembl:lncRNA
AAUCUAGGGUUAACAUCAAAUUAAAAGCUAACUGCUAGAGUCACAGGGAGGAGAGGACUUUAAAUUGCUCGGAAUGUUAGUGGUUAUAGCAGAACUCUUGGAAACCUCACAGGUGAACACUAGCAGGCAGCCAGAUCACUGCAGUGGGUGGAUGGGUAUCUGUUUCAAGUUGGCUUCUUGGAGGUUUCUUACAGACAUCACAGCUCAGUAAGCAGGGGGUGGGGUAGGUGCUCUCUCUUGUGGCCUGCUCCCCUCGGAAAGGCAGGGCUCGGGGGCAUCCAGUUGAGGCAGCAAGGCUGGCCUAACUCUAGGAGGACUAGGCUUGGAGUUGAAGCUCAGGUGAACCAACUCAUCGUCAUGGCAGGGGAGAGCACUUCCAGACAGAAAACCCACUGAGGGAAGAGAGGGGCUCAGGCCAAGAGACCUUAAGGAGACACUCUCCACUCACUGCCCAGCAAAAUGAAAGGAGAAUGUGCCAAGAGACCCGGAUGAGGAGGCGCUAAUGCAGAUGGCAUUACCACCAGUGCCUAGGGGAAGACGAGCCUUCCUAAGGUCAAUCUAGGGGGGGGGAGCAAGACUCAAGAUAGAAAAUGGCGGCAGUGAAGCACCGUUCUUACCUGUGUUGGCUCAGGAGGACUGGGCCUGGCGUGGGGUCGUACCCGUGGAGAGCAGGGCCUGGCCAGGAUGCAGGACUCCAGACAGAAGCCUAAGAAAGGAGUGCGCCAGCUGGGCAGAGGUUUUGGAGUAAACGGCAGCAAGAGUCAGGCCUCUGAGUCCCGGAAGCUCAAAAAAACAGAGAGCAUGCUGGAGGAUCCCGGGUCUGGGCAAUCUCUUCCCCAUGGGGCCGCUUUUUGGCAUGCUUUCUCCCUAAACCAGGGUCGGCACUCGUCUGCUGACUGAGCCAGUGACGCUCGGCGAUGUAGCGGCUUCGCUCCCAGGUUCACGGGGUGAAUUCUGGCCCUUCUGCGCCUCCGUACCUCUGAGCUCUGAGUGAGAACUCCUGCAGCUGCGAAGACCAGACCUCCUUCACCUGCGCAGAGUUUAAAGAGAGCAGGUGUGGGCCGUCAGUGAUAAUGAAAAUGGAGGCAGCGGUGAAGGAAGCUUUCAGGAGCUGAGCUCAGUGGUAGUCACAAUGCCAGGUUCUCAGAAACAGAGAGGUCCUCCCCUGCAAACGCCAUCUCAGGUAGAGCCGGGAUUAGCUGACGGAAGAAGGUAGGCGGGGCUCUCGAGAUAAACAAUUUGAAUGACCUCACAUCAGCGUGUCAACAUCCUUUGGGUAGCUCAAGGUCAAGAAAUCACUUCAAAGAAAUACCACACUGGUCAGAAAGAAAGAAUCCCCUCACUGGGUCAUCCUCAUGGAGUCUGGUCAGAACACUGAGCCAACGAAUGGGAGAGACCUGGGACUCCUCCUAGCAUCUGGAUUACCCCACACUGAAUUGGUGUGGGUUAAAGAGUUAGAGCGUGGUUUCUGAAAGGGUAGAAAUGGGAUGGAGCCCACGUUGUUCUUGAAAUGUUCAGCCCUGCUGCCUCCAUAGACCCCUGGCACCAGAAGGCGUUUUAGACAUCUUCCUGGAAGACUGCUUCGGCCUACCUGGCUCCUUGAGGCAAAGGCAAGCGUUGCCUGAAAUAAAGAGUGGUACUGCCCUUAAGUAUGGGAGAAGGCAAUGGCAACCCACUCCAGGACUCUUGCCUGGAAAAUCCCAUGGAAGGAGGAGCCUGGUAGGCUGCAG